rnacentral:rRNA from 1 species
GACGAACGCUGGCGGCGUGCUUAACACAUGCAAGUCGAGCGGUAAGGCCCUUUCGGGGUACGACGAGCGGCGAACGGGUGAGUAACACGUGGGUGGACCUGCCCUCCAGCUCUGGGAGUAAGCCUCGGGAAACCGGGUACGUAAUACCGGAUAUGACUCCAUGACGCAUGUUGUGGGGUGGAAAGCCUUGUGCGGCUGAGGAUGGGCCC